rnacentral:rRNA from 1 species
GACGAACCGUGCGAACGUUAUUCGGAAUCACUGGGCUUAAAGCGCGUGUAGGUGGGGCGGCACGUCGGUCGCUGAAAUCCCCCGGCUUAACCGGGGGAACGGGCGCCGAUACGACCGCCCUUGAGGGGCGUAGGGGGGGCUGGAACUUCCGGUGGAGCGGUGAAAUGCGUUGAGAUCGGAAGGAACGCCCGUGGCGAAAGCGAGCCCCUGGACGUCAUCUGACACUGAGACGCGAAAGCCAGGGGAGCGAACGGG